rnacentral:tRNA from 1 species
CGGAACGUAGCUUAAUUGGGAAAGCAGCGGGUUAUCGAGGUUCAAUUCCUUUUUAUGACUGUUGGGAGCGCACUUGCAAGUGAAGGUUCGAAUCCUUCCGUUCCGA